GAUGAACGCUGGCGGCGUGCCUAAUACAUGCAAGUCGAGCGAACAGACGAGGAGCUUGCUCCUCUGACGUUAGCGGCGGACGGGUGAGUAACACGUGGAUAACCUACCUAUAAGACUGGGAUAACUUCGGGAAACCGGAGCUAAUACCGGAUAAUAUAUUGAACCGCAUGGUUCAAUAGUGAAAGACGGUUUUGCUGUCACUUAUAGAUGGAUCCGCGCCGCAUUAGCUAGUUGGUAAGGUAACGGCUUACCAAGGCAACGAUGCGUAGCCGACCUGAGAGGGUGAUCGCCCACAGGGGAACUGAGCCAGGGUCAAGACUCCUAGGGGAGGCAGAAGUGGGGAACUUCCGGAAAGGGGCGAAAGCCUGAGGGAGCAACCCCGCGUGAGUGAUGAAGGUCUUCGGAUCGUAAAACUUUGUUAUUGGGAAAGAAAAAAUGUAUAAGUAACUGUGCACUUCUUGACGGUACCUAAUCAAAAAGCCACGGCUAACUACGUG
rnacentral:rRNA from 1 species